rnacentral:lncRNA from 13 species
CAUCCUGGGGCCUCGGCCCUUUGACAAGGGAGAGGAGGGGAGACGAGGGUCGGGCAGGCCCGCCAAGAAGGCUGUUGGAAUAAUCCCCAUCUCAGGGCGAGAUCAUUCCAGCCCUAAUGAGACUCCGGGCAUUAUCCCCUCACGCAUUGUCCACGGUGGCCAGGAAAAGGGCGAGACCAACUUUACUUCUGAAUUUGGACUGACUUAAAGAAGUGGCAUCACAUUUGAAGGGCACCCAAUCAAUCUGUUGCCCUCGCUGCAUGAAAUUGUAUCUGCUUGCCACUUCCUAUCUCGCCGGGCGCAGCUGGGCUGCUAUGGAAGUGGCAGCUUGUGAUUUUAAUACCAAAGAAAGCCUAGAGCACAGAGAGCAGCAGAGGUUGCCAGUGAGGUAAUGGAGUCAAAUGGAAGUUCACUGGAAGCUUCUUUCUAAUGACAUUGAAUGGGGCUGUCAAAGGAGGAAGAGGAGGAGAUGUCACACUGUCACCGGUGGCCCUCUGCAGAGCGGUGCAUGCGUACCGCCUGGCCCUCAGGUUCCGGUUUAAGCGAUUCUCCUGGCCCAGCCUCCCGAGUACUGGGAUUACAGAUGUAAGGUUUGCAAGUAUCAGUUGCUGCCCAAGCUGUCCUUGCUACGUAUAGGGAGAUCCAGCCUGCUCAGGGAGGAGGAGCCAGACAUCUGGAGCGCAGAACUCCACCUUCCCUCCAUCUGUGUCUUUCCCUUCUGUGGAUUGUGUUCUUCGCCAUGGCCAGCCGGGAUUUGAAAACUUUCGUUUUGUUGCUGUUACUCAAUACCUCUUCAACUCUCGGUUAAGUCACUAGUGGCCUGAAACAAAAUGUAAGUGCACUGGGAAGCUUCCUCUGAGGGAACGAGCCAUUUUAUAAAGUAAAACCUUCUGCCACAUGGAAUGCCUUUUCAUAUUAAUUUGAUAAAUAUCACAUUAGGCCAGGCUUUACAAAAUCGGAUCCUAGAUGUACUUCCCAUGAGAACAUGAACACAUCAGCAUUUGGGAGAUCUGGGCGGCAGGGCAUAGUGCUGAGGGACCUUUCCAGAGGGUCCAGGUCCUCUCUC